rnacentral:rRNA from 1 species
UGGGGAAUUUUGGACAAUGGGGGAAACCCUGAUCCAGCCAUCCCGCGUGUGCGAUGAAGGCCUUCGGGUUGUAAAGCACUUUUGGCAGGAAAGAAACGUCGCGGGUUAAUACCCCGCGAAACUGACGGUACCUGCAGAAUAAGCACCGGCUAACUACGUGCCAGCAGCCGCGGUAAUACGUAGGGUGCAAGCGUUAAUCGGAAUUACUGGGCGUAAAGCGUGCGCAGGCGGUUCGGAAAGAAAGAUGUGAAAUCCCAGAGCUUAACUUUGGAACUGCAUUUUUAACUACCGGGCUAGAGUGUGUCAGAGGGAGGUGGAAUUCCGCGUGUAGCAGUGAAAUGCGUAGAUAUGCGGAGGAACACCGAUGGCGAAGGCAGCCUCCUGGGAUAACACUGACGCUCAUGCACGAAAGCGUGGGGAGCAAAACAGGAUUAGAUACCCUGGUAGUCCACGCCCUAAAACGAUGUCAACUAGCUGUUGGGGCCUUCGGGCCUUGGUAGCGCAGCUAACGCGUGAAGUUGACCGCCUGGGGAGUACGGUCGCAAGAUUAAAACUUAAAAGGAAUUAGAACGGGGGUGCAUAGCUGUUU